rnacentral:rRNA from 1 species
GACGAACGCUGGCGGCGUGCUUAACACAUGCAAGUCGAACGGAAAGGCCUGCUUUCCCUUGUGGAUUGCGGGUACUCGAGUGGCGAACGGGUGAGCAACACGUGAGUGAUCUGCCCCCAACUUGGGUAUAAGCCUGGGAAACUGGGUCUAAUUCCCGAUAGGACUGCAGGGUGGUGCCUGUGGUGGAAAACGAUUUUCUAGUGGUUGGGGAUGAGCUCGCGGCCUAUCAGCUUGUUGGUGGGGUAAUGGCCUACCAAGGCGGCGACGGGUAGCCGGCCUGGGAGGGUGGACGGCCACAUUGGGACUGAGAUACGGCCCAGACUCCUACGGGAGGCAGCAGUGGGGAAUAAUGCACAAUGGGCGGAAGCCUGAUGCAGCGACGCCGCGUGGGGGAUGACGGCCUUCGGGUUGUAAACUCCUUUCGACCGCGAGGAAGCCACCUGGUUGGAAGGGUGGUGACGGUAGUGGUAGAAGAAGCACCGGCUAACUACGUG